UGCAUCAUAUCCCAGUAGUAAAAAUCGAUCGAACAUCGCAAUACGGGACGAAGGAAGAAGGGUACGGGAAAUCCGAAGAUCGUGAAGUGCAAACGAAGAAGUCUGUCAGCCAUAGUAAAAGCAGUAUAGAAACAGUAGGCAGAAAUUGCAUCAGCCGUUUUAAAGUUCUCUCAACGACCACGACAGCGACCCAGUCAUUACAUCGUACGCGAAUCGUAUAUAAAUUGCACGAUCAAGCCAACCGUUCUCCAGUCUUCUUUUCCACCACCAUCGUAAAAGUAUAUAUAUCGAGGGUACAUAAGAAAUCGACAUGAGAAAUAAAACAGCUGCACGUAGGACGGAUGAGCAGCUAUUUUUAUUAGCAAGUAUUCACCAGUUCACCAACUACCAACGUGGCCCAGCAUCGAGCAUCGAGGAUACUUUUCUCUCUGCCUCCGGCGUCUCUCUUUUGUUGGAAUUGUCAGAAAGCAGGAAUCUGACGACCAAGGCCUCUGCCCGUUGAUCUCGUUCCGGGUUUCGUUGUCCCUGGUCCCUUAGGAAACGGGGCAGCGACACCCGAAUGUCGUCUAGAGUUGCUACGCGGGCGUAAAAAUCGCACAACUGCUCCACUGGGCGAUACACACGCGGAGGCAAGUGUCAACUUACGAAACCGAUGUGCAAAUUAAAAAUCUCCAUCGUGGUACAGCGGCGACUAUUUACCACUGCAUCGUACGAUUUUACACACCAACGAUACUUGCAGUCAUCGGUAAGUGUAACACACUCCUGCCAGCUGCGCCCGUGCAUUAUCGAAUGCCAUAAAACCGUCAGGGCACGUCUCGAGUUUCAUGGUGCAGAGGGGGUUCGUUCCCGUCGGCUCACACCGAGGGGGUGGUAAUCAUCUCGUGCACCCUGGAGGAUUUCUUGAAGUAUGAGGUAUUAGAUACAGCCACGUGGCACCGCAAGUCUAAAAUUAAUAUUUCAGCAAUUCAGCUUUAGUCAAACAACCUCUGAUAGUUUUCAUCAUUGCGGAUUCGCCACAUGUACACGUUCAAGUAUCCGAAGCCUGUAAUAUUUUGUCUUGUAACAUAAAUUUGGUACGCAGUGGGUAAGUUGUAAUAAUCCUUCCGCCAUUGCCGCCUUGCCAAAUCGAAUCCUGCAGCUCGCGUUACAUUCGAAGCGCAUUGUACCGGGGAGACCGAAAAUUGUUUCACACUGUAACAAGUCUGUUACUCGACGAUGGAGCUCUGGAGAGGUCUGGAAGUCACUGCAUGCGCGUACUGACUUUAAGGCCAAGAGUAUUAAACUUAGAGGAGGCAAAUACGAGCGAUACAAGGAUCACAUACAUAGCGACGGAGAAGAUUUUAGCAUGCAGGACGUGGAGCCCCUAAUGCUAAAAUAUCGUCUGUACACCCGCGGCCAACCCUCCGCAUUCCAAAAGCAUGAAAGCUCGGAUGGUUCUGUGAGAGCUGCCCAGUAAAAAUUCGCAUGCCAAAGGCGGUAUUUCUUUGGUAACCGAACACUCACGUGUCAGUUGAUUACAGACAACACGUCGUUCGCCAUUACAUGUGCUUAUUCAUUUUCGAUCUCGUACG